UACGAGGGGGGCGAGCGUUGUUCGGAAUCACUGGGCGUAAAGCGUGCGUAGGCGGUCUUGAAAGUUAGGAGUGAAAGCCCCAGGCUCAACCUGGGAAUUGCUCUUAAUACUACAAAACUUGAAUCUCGGAGAGGAUAGCGGAAUUGUCAGUGUAGCAGUGAAAUGCGUAGAUAUUGACAGGAACACCAGUGGCGUAAGCGGCUAUCUGGACGAGUAUUGACGCUGAGGCACGAAAGCGUGGGGAUCAAACAGG
rnacentral:rRNA from 1 species